rnacentral:rRNA from 1 species
UAACCUGCCCAAGAGACUGGGAUAACACCUGGAAACAGAUGCUAAUACCGGAUAACAACACUAGACGCAUGUCUAGAGUUUAAAAGAUGGUUCUGCUAUCACUCUUGGAUGGACCUGCGGUGCAUUAGCUAGUUGGUAAGGCAACGGCUUACCAAGGCAAUGAUGCAUAGCCGAGUUGAGAGACUGAUCGGCCACAUUGGGACUGAGACACGGUCCAAACUCCUACGGGAGGCAGCAGCC